rnacentral:rRNA from 1 species
GAGCCACUUAUUGGAUUGUGGUGUAAGCGUGUGGCCCGUGGCAUAGGUAAAUCCGUGCUGCAUAUAAGGGUGAGGCGUGAUGCGUAGACCUUUUGGUUGAUGUUGGUGAUCCUGUACUGUCGAGAAAAGCCUCUAGCGAGUGUCAUUAUGGCCCGUACCCUAAACCGACACAGGUAGUCAGGUAGAGAAUACUAAGGCGAUCGGGUGAACUGUGGUU